UACUGUCAAAUAAUAAAUUCGGCGCUUUUAGUUCAUUUUUAGUCGACCCUAGCUUGCUUCUUCAGACGGAUUUCGUCUGGAAGGGCAAGAGUGGCUCGAGCCUCAUCAGCCCAAUGUAAUGUGUAUUGGACUUGAAAAAUUGAAAUGCGUAUGCUCAGAGUGUUCCUCUGUUGAAAUCGACGCAGGUUAUUACUUCUGGUGGGGCUGGCACCACCGGGACCGCCAUGGACAUAUAUGGUUCGUUCCACAACGUUGUAAUUUCAUAUUUCACCGUUCAUUGGCUGUAGUGUGUGACGUUGUGAUGAGUCAUGACUCGAGUGACCUCCCACCUCACGUGCCGCGCGCGAGAAGUCCUGUAGCGAAGAAGAGAAGGAGAUGGAUAACUUUGCUAACAAACGCGUCGGAGGCACACAAACGAAAACGAGUCGACAACAUGAAUGAGGUAGAUCAUCUAUUGGAGCACAAAUUUGAGACCCUGAGCAUGGCGGAAAAAUUAGAGCUAUUAUCUUUGAUUUCUCCUCCAGGACACUGCCUAGGCCUACGGGAGGUGUACUCCAUGUACCUACCUGCUGUCCUGGCAGGUCCUUGUUGGUGGAGCUGAGGGCUGAAUAGAGAAUGGGAAACGCAAGCCAGGGCUACAAACAGCAUGGUGGGACACUGACACGUAAGUAAGACCAAUGAUGGAAGCUCAAUCUCUAUUUUGAAAUACUUUUGCUUUUUUAUGAAAAUUACCAAUUCUAUUUGUAAUAUAUUAGGUCUGUAACUUUUUCCCAAAAUGAAUUUCAAGAGAGAGAGAGAGAGAGAGAGAGAGAGAGAGAGAGGGAGAGAGGGAGAGGGGAGAGAGGGAGAGAGGGAGAGAGAGGGAGAGAGCGCUUUAUGCACUAAUAUUACAAGGUUGUUGGUUGUCUUUAACUGUCGCCCUCUGGUAUCCUGGGGGGUUUUUGCGUUGCUUUGAGCGACCGAGUUCUACCUUUCAUCCCAUUGAUUGGCGUGCGUGCGUGUUUGUGUGUGGUGUAUGAAGCGAGAGACCCUGAUUGGUCCCGUGGUCCUUUAGGCAAAGUGGGCGGGACUUUGUUCCGUUCUAGCCUAUUAACCGAGAUCCUGUCCUGCAUCUGGAGCAGGCUUGGUGUGAGUGAUCCACAUACCUUGUGGUAACCAUGGUGAUGUAGAUGUACGCCCCCCCUCCCCCGUAGCCCACUCAGAAAUCGGUAGUAGAAUCCGUAGGCUAGUAUUAGUUAAGGGAGUUUUAUAUGUGAAAUAUCGUGCAUAAAGCUGUGUCUCACCCACUCUACUUGUCUGUCUGUCUGUGUCUCCCGGUCUCUCUGUCUCUCUGUCCCUGUCUCUCUCUAUUUCUGCCUCCCUUUCUCUGUAUCUCUCUGACCCUCCCUCCCUCCCUCUCUCUGUCCCUCCCUCCCUUUUGUGAGACAGUUCAGUGAAUAAAAACAACAAAACAAAAUGUAUUUCCCUUAAACUAAAUGAAACCGGUUUGUUCUGGAAAGAAUAAAUAGACGAAGGGAGUUGACCUAAGGGUAGAAAAUAGAUUUAAAUAAACCAUCUGCGCUUCGCAUAACCGCUUCAAAUCGCUUUGAGAAGAAAAUCAGGCGGACAGAUAUACUAACCUGGUCUCUGUUGAUAACCUGGAUAAAUUAAAUUAAUUGAGCCAAUUGAAUACCAUUGACUGUCAAACCGACGAUAUAGUCAUGUUUGCAUUUAUUUUUUAAUUAAAUUCAUACACAAUUUCCAAUGUGAUGCAUGAGUCAAAUAGACAGUUUAAGAGAUCACACACCUAGAAUAUGAAGGUCAAGGCCUAUGCGUUUAAUGUUUAGAUGAUAU